rnacentral:tRNA from 1 species
UUAACUGAAACCAAAAAGAGGUAUAUUACUGUUAAUAAUAUUAUUGAAAUCAUUCCAGUUAAA